AAGACCCUAGUUAAAUUAUAACGCUGCUUUGUCAAGGCAACUUUGUGGGUUAAAACCCCACGUGUCUUA
rnacentral:tRNA from 1 species